rnacentral:rRNA from 1 species
AACCUCCGCAAUGUGAGAAAUCGCGACGGGGGGAUCCCAAGUGCCAUUCUUAACGGGAUGGCUUUUCAUUAGUGUAAAGAGCUUUUGGAAUAAGAGCUGGGCAAGACCGGCGCCAGCCGCCGCGGUAACACCGGCAGCUCUAGUGGUAACAAUUUUUAUUGGGCCUAAAGCGUCCGUAGCCGGUUUAAUAAGUCUCUGGUGAAAUCCUGUAGCUUAACUGUGGGAAUUGCUGGAGAUACUAUUAGACUUGAGACCGGGAGAGGUUAGAGGUACUCCCAGGGUAGAGGUGAAAUUCUGUAAUCCUGGGAGGACCGCCUGUUGCGAAGGCGUCUAACUGGAACGGUUCUGACGGUGAGGGACGAAAGUUAGGGGCGCGAACCGGAUUAGAUACCCGGGUAGUCCUAACUGUAAACGAUGCGGACUUGGUGUUGGGGUGGCUUUGAGCUGCUCCAGUGCCGAAGGGAAGCUGUUAAGUCCGCCGCCUGGGAAGUACGGUCGCAAGACUGAAACUUAAAGGAAUU